GUGAAAAUUUACUCCUUUAAUGAGUUACAGAACAUCUGUUGCUCCACGUUUCUUUAUUCCUUUUUGCAAAUAUAAAUAGUGCGCGGAUGUAUGAUCAUUAAACAACUACGUUGGGGGUGAAUGAUUCCGUAAAAUUUCUGAUUGUGUUUGACGCGAGUAACAACGAUGAAAUAUGUUAUAUUUCUUCUUCUUCUUCUUCUUCUCCUUGAAGGUUAUGCACUAGUAGAGAUCUGCUAUGAAUUAGCCAAGUCAUAUUGUCAUGAAGCUAUCGUAAAAUAUCCCGAAAAGAAGCCGGAUAGACACAUAUGCGAUCGCUUAAAUCAUAUGACGGGUUGUUAUAAUAGGCAACGGAAUCCGUGUGCUUCAUCGAUCAGACAAAUGGCUUACAAACACCUCUGUGGUUUUCUGCUUAAACUGAAACGCACUAUUGCUAUGGGUUCACGGAUUAUACGUCAAGUGAAAUGAUGAAAUGCCGCGUCAGCUGUUACUCGUGAGUCUCACAUGACACUACGAAAGAUACCAAUUGUAAUUGUGAUUUUUUUCCAUCUGGAGAAAUAAACAAUUCAAUAAA